UUCGUUCUCAAUUGCCAUGCGAAUUACGACAAAAUCAAUGCCUUCCCUAAUUCUUAUCGAAAUCAGCUGAAAAAUCAAAACAAAAGAGAGAAGUAUCAUAAAAGAAGAAACACUCACACAAAUAUUGAUUUGAAACUAAAGACUAUUUGCACAUAAAAGAAGAAACAAAUUAGAAAUUAUUAAAGAAACUGGCAUUACAUUACCAAUUCAAUUCAAGAUUUUAUUAACUUCUACAAUACUUUCAUCCAUGCGGUUUUACAUGGAACAAACAAGUGAAACUGAAAACUCUCAAACUACGUGCCGUGUGAAUGGGGGUAAUUCGAAUUCGUAAUUGAGAGAGCGAAACACGUAAUUGGGCUGUCGAGGAAAAGCCGAAUUAAACGUCGCCUUUUUAUUUGCGAUAAAUUUAACAAAUUAAAUUUUUUGAUUGAUAUAGGCGCAAUCGUUUCAGUUAUACCAUUUUCAAAAUUCAAAUCAUUUAAAAAAAAAUUCUGACCAUAAUUUUUCGGCUGCAAACGGAUCUUAUAUAGAAACAUUUGGAAAUAAACUUUUAAAACUUGAUUUAGGUUUAAGAGAUUCCGAGGAACAUUUAUCGAAAAGAGGUAUAACGUUAUCCAUUCUUUAACUUAAGGCCUGCAUUUACUUAACCAUGAACUUAAGCGUUUUUAUAAGGUUUGCUAUUACUUAAGAAGCGGAUAUAAGUCUUAAAACAGAAUUUUGUCGGUCCCGAUUCUGAUCCUGGCAACAACCUGUUCCUGUAACAUUCUGAUUCGAAAAUGUAUUUUUUAAUUUUACUUAGACUCAUCUUCAAAGUAGCAGCGACUAUUAGCCGAAGAGCUGUGCCUCCUCCGGAUGACACAAUUAAAGACUUUUGCAUAGACUAUUCUGUUUAAAAGUAUUUUACUGAUUUUUUUGUAAAUGAAAUUAUUAUUAUAUAAAAAUAUAUUUAUAUACAUUUUAUAAAUCUUCAACAAGAAUAGCACUACAGCAAGCAGUAAACAUCAGAAAUGAUUCAUAUUAUAAACACGCCAACAAACAUAAGACUAACUGCUAUCCCUAAAUUGGAGCGUUGAGCGCUAAACAACUGUCAAAAAUCCUCAUGGCCAUAUAAUUUGUAAGAGACAUCCCACAAUGACGCAGCGUCAAGUUGAGCAAAUGCAAUUUUCAAUUUGGACAACAUUUAAGGAAAACUUAAUUCAGUUGUUGGUGCCUGUUCAACAAAAAGGAAACCAAGUAGAAGGACAUCAAAUACAAGGGAAAGUUAAUGGGAGAAACUAGCACCGGGCUGAAUGCUCCGGUAAAACAAGGUUAAGUGGAAGAGCCUACGAGAAAGGUAGCGUAGGGAGAAAAAUUUACAAAGCCAACCCUCUGGCUCAUCCCAAAAAUUAGGGGCAGAUUGGAAGAACCCUGGUUUUCUUAGCAGAUAUGUAUUUUAAUAUGUAUUUUAAAUCAACAAUUGAAAUCCAAAAACCACGAUGGAUUCAGAUAUGGAGAAAUUAUUUGCCAAUCAAGAGGAUGGUGCCUAGUAUUUAUGAAAUGCUUUGCUUGAAUUUACUUAUUUUCUUCCAAAUACAUAUAACUGCUUGCUUUCGCUGUAAUCGUAUAUGUAUGUCUCAUUAUUUAAGAAGUACCUUAAAGAACCAGCGGCGGUGAAAGGGAAAUACGACAAUUUUUUCGAUCUGGUUAGUCAAAAGCGUGAAGGCUCCCCGAUCAUGUUGUGGAGAUCUCACAACUUUUAAACAGAAAAAUAAAUCAAUUUAAAUAAUUUUAUUAAAGAUAGUUCAUAUAUAAUUUCGGAGUUCCAUUAGUAAAAAAGCAAUAUAUGUAUGUAUAUAGUCAUAUAUUGACAUAUCCUAUA
rnacentral:lncRNA from 1 species